ensembl:lncRNA FBXO38-DT FBXO38 divergent transcript
GGGCGCAGUUAAAGAUGUUAAUGUUAAGUCAUCCCUUCUGUGAUUUCGGGACAUUAUCUUUGCACGCCAUGUGAAGAUGUGCUUGCUUCCUUGUCACCUUCCGCCAUGAUUGUAAGUUUCCUGAGGCCUCCCAGGAAGCAGAAGCCUGUACAGCCCACAGAACCAUGACCUGAUGAAAUCUCUUUUCUUUAUAAAUUACCCAGUCUCAGAUCUUGCUAUGCUUGUCAUUGUGUAAGCAGCAAACUUGCAGUGACCAGUUGGAUUCCACCCCCCUGAUGUUGGUGGUGUGCUCUUGGGGAGAUGUCUUCCAGACAGGCAAAGAAGAGUGACAUCAUCAGAGCAUGGACGACCUCAAAGAUAUUCCAGCUAUGCUCCAGAGAGAGCCAUCCUGAUGGAACCUACUGACCAGGGGGACACAAAAGAAAAGAGGGAGGAGAUGAAAGAAGGUGAGGGUCUCUAUUGCCAGCAGAACUGGACUGUGUGUUUAACUGGAAAGCUGAUGGAGAAUGUAGUUAGGCACAGCUCUCUGGACCCUUCUAGUGAAAUAAAGAACUAGUUAAAUAAGGCAAGACAGAAGAAUGAGGCUGCCAUCUAGAUGUAGUAACAGGUAAUGUUCCAGGGCACAAGGGAGCCAAAGGAAGAGAGUUUCUUCACUUUUUAUUCUCUGCAGUCUUCAUACAUAAUAAUGAUCUCAUUCCUCUAUAUUAGUCAAGAUCUUCCCAUUAUAAGUGACGAAUUAUAACCAGAUUAAACCAAAAAGUAAAAUAAUUUAUUGACUGAUUGAUAUGGUUUGGAUUUGUGUCCCCGCCCAAAUCUCAUGUAGAAUUGUAAUCCCCAGUGCCAGUUGGAGGUGGGUCCUGGUGGGAGGUGAUGGGAUCAUGUGGGUGGUUUCUCAUGGUGUAACGCAAUCCACCUUGGUGCUGUCGUCACGAUGGUGAGUCCUCAUGAGAUCUGGUUGUUUCAAGGUGUGUGGCACCUCACCUCUCUCUCUCUCUUCUCCUGCUCCCACCACGUGAGGCACCUCUCUCCCCCUUUGCCUUUUGCCAUGAUUGGAAACUUCCUGAGGCCUCCCCAGAAGCAGAAGCCCCUAUGCUUCCUGCACAGCCUGCAGAACCGACAUUUCAAUUAUCCUCUGAAAUGGAAUAAUCCUCAUUGAAAGCAUGAUACUAGAAGCUCAUGAGGAUUAUUUUCAAAGAAAGCUGUGCAGAAGAGUUGGCUCAGCAGGCUUGGCAUGCUCAAACCAGCUCCUGGGAGAUAACCUACGAGCCCUUGGAAUAGUCUGUGCAAUAGGGGUCCUGGAGCACUCCAUAUCAGUUUGAUCUCUGGCUGGGGAGGAGCUGGAGAUUAAGUAUUUAAGAUCAGCCAUGUAGGUAUUCUGUGCCUACCUGACUGACCCCCAUUAAAGAGUCUGAACACCAAGUCUUGGGUGAGCUUCCCUGGUAAGCAAUACUUCAUGUGUGUUGUCAUGGUAGCAGGGAGAAUUAAGUAUCGCUUCUGUGAGUCCACUGGGAGAAGACAGCUGGAAACUUGUGCCUGCUCUCUCGGGGACUCCACCUCAUGCAUCUUUGGUCUUUGCUGAUUUUAAUUUGUAUCCUUUCAUUAUAAUAAACUGUUACCAUGAAUAUAACAGCUUUUCUGAGUUUUAUGAGUCCUCCUGAAUCCUCAAGCCUGAAGAUAGUCUUGGGGAACCUCAACAGAGAAGAUCUCACAGGUCAUGAAGAAGUUAACUGACAAGACACAGGGCUGAUUUGUGAAAACAAUUUUGAAUGGAGCUAAAUAUACAUUGUAAGGAAUAUUAUUAAUUCUUUAGUCUAAAUUUCCUACUGAAUUUAUUUGAAAGGCAAAAACAAUAUGAAAAGUUGACUGUCAAUUUUUAUGCAUGUAAGACCACCCUUUGCUACUCGUGUGUGUAUCUAUACCUGCAUCUAUGUUUAUACGUUUGUCUAUGGCUAUAGCUGCAUCUGCAUCUUUUUCUACAUCUCUUAAUAGCUACCAAACACUGAUAGGUGCUAUUCAUAGGUUUGUCAAUGUGACAUAUAAAAAAAGUUCAGUGUUUUUUUUAAAUAACUAGAUUUCCAUUUAUUGCUUGAAUAUAAUCUACAGAUUACCUACAAAUAUAAUCUCUGUACAGUUCUCCCAGAACAUUAUGUAAGCCUUUUUUCUUUUUUAAAUGAUUCAACUUUGAAUACUAACUAAAUUCUAGGAGACUUUCUUCACUCUCUCUGUAGUCUGUCCCCAGUUUUUGUAAAUAAUGAGGCUAUUUUUUUAAAAAAAGUAUGCAUC